UCCUGGGAUCGAGUCCCACAUCGGGCUCCCUGCUCAGCAGGGAGCCUGCUUCUCCCUCUGCCUGCUGCUCCCCCUGCUUGUGCACACGCUCUCUCUCUCAUAAAAUCUUUUUUAAAAAAAAAAAACUUCAGAAUAAAACUUUUGUUUUUAAAGAUGCUUUAGGAAAAACCAUAAGAAAUUACAGUUAGGCCUAAACGCACACACAUGGCCUAAAAUGAAUGCUAUAUGAAGAUUUGCACCAACAGUUUCCAUGAAACUACCUUUUUAUCUAGUCCCUGUAUUUCUGAACAUUAAUUUGCUAUACGACUUAACAAGAGCAAAGGCUAAUAGGUUAAGUUUCUGAGUCUCCACUCGUUGAACCCAUAUUGUCUGCUUUGUGCCAGGCACUAAUGCCGGUGGCAGAGACCAAGAGCAACCAGAAGCCCUCUCACUGCCCUCCUGGAGAUCACACACAUUGCAGAGUGGUAAGGGUGAGGGAGGACCAGCAGAAUAAAGAACAGUGGGGAUGCCAAUUUGUAUUAAAAGUCUUUAAGUUCAAAGCCAUGAGGGAAGUCCAGAAGGAUGAGCAGCGCUACUCCAUCAAUUGAUCCUGAAAGCCAGGUUUCGUCUAUCUUGUUCUGCCACCUUCCUGUAGUGAAGAUCUGCUGAUAAUGAAUCCUCUUGGUUUUUGUUUAUCGGAGAAAGUUUUUUAUUUCUCCUUCAUUUUAGAAAGAUAUUGUUGCCAGCUAUAGAACUCUGAUUUAACUCUUUUUUCUCCCCUGUCCUUUAAGAUGUCACUCCACUAUCUUAUGGCUUGAAAAUAAAUCUGUUGUACUUCUUUCCUUUAUACCACGUGUGUGUUUUCCCCCUCUGGUUGCCUCUAAGAUUU